rnacentral:rRNA from 1 species
GACGUAGGGCGCGAGCGUUGUCCGGAUUUAUUGGGCGUAAAGAGCUCGUAGGUGGUUUGUCGCGUUGUCCGUGAAAACUCACAACUCAAUUGUGGGCGUGCGGGCGAUACGGGCAGACUGGAGUACUGCAGGGGAGACUGGAAUUCCUGGUGUAGCGGUGGAAUGCGCAGAUAUCAGGAGGAACACCGGUGGCGAAGGCGGGUCUCUGGGCAGUAACUGACGCUGAGGAGCGAAAGCGUGGGGAGCAAACAGG